rnacentral:lncRNA from 1 species
CUAGUUCUGUGAAAAAUGUCAUGGGUCAUUUGAUAGGGAUUGCAUUGAAUCUGUAGAUUGCUUUGGGUAGGAUGGCCAUUUUCACAAUAUUGAUUUUUCCAAUCCAUGAACAUGGAAUAUCUUUCCAUUUCUUUACAUCUUCUUUGAUUUCUUUGAUUAAAGUUUUAUAGUUCUCGGCAUAUAGGUCCUUUACCUCUUUGGUCAGGUGUAUUCCGAGGUAUUUGAUUUUGUGAGGUACGAUUUUAAAAGGUAUCAUUUUUUUGUAUUCCUUUUCUAAUGUUUCAUUGCUGGUAUACAGAAAUGCAACUGACUUCUGAAUGUUAAUCUUAUAUCCUGCCACUUUGCUGAAUUUAUUAAUCAGUUCAAGGAGUUUUGGGGUUGAAACAUUUUCUUUUCCAUUGUGUUUCUGAAAAAUAUUUAUUUCAGUACAAUGUGCAAGACUCUCUCAGUGACAUAUUAGCAGCUCUCCCAGCUUCUUUAAGACAUAUCUUGAAUAUGCCCAAUGUCUAUUUCAUUAUAGUGCCUAUUUUCCUCUCCAUGGCUCUACUAAAUUGUCAUUAGUUUGAGGUCAGUAUCUGAGUCUUCUCUUAAUCCAGCCAUUGCAUCUUCCAUAUCUUGCAGAGUGCCUGGCAUGUAGCAGACUCUUAAAAUAUGCAUGUCGAAUGAAUAAGUGAAUGAAUAAACAUCUGCUGGGCAGGAGAGAAAAACAUGUGGCUGACAGACACAUUUCGAAUGAGCUCAGAGUCUAGUGUUUCCAGAGGAGGAAAAGCAGUAACAAAAUAAACACAGCAAACAAGCACAGGUCCAACCAUUUUACAGUGAAGCCUCAUCUACCAGGAAUUCCCUGUCCGUGAAUCUAAUUUAUUCUGAGCAUCAAGGAAUGAAAAUAGACUUCUGAGCCUCCUCAACAAAGGUCUGAGGAAGUCCAAGUCUGUGCACUUUACUCCAGGAGAAAGCCUGGGACCUGUGGCCUCCCAAAUCCAUCAUUCUUCAUGCACUUCUAACCACCUCUGUUCGGCAGUUCUUAAAGCCACAGUGGUUUAAAAAGAAGAUUAGAGAGUGGUGACUGUUAGAGACAGGCAUACUGAGAGCAAAGAGUUGUCACCUUGACAGGAAGGAAGAGAUACACAAAUAAAAUAAAAACAAACCAUAAAACAGACCUACGAACCCUUAUUCCAUAGCAACUCCUGAAAACUGCAAAAUGUUUUUGAACAAAUGGUCCCAGAAUGUUGAGUUCUAGGGACACUUGGUAGAGAAAAGAAGAAAGAAUUUGGGUCAGAUUAUCUGCAGCCAUGUUCUUACUCAGUUUCUAAUUUCCUGUGUGACCUUGGGCAAGCUAUUUAACCUCUAUGAGUCUCAGCUUCUUUAUCUAAAACAAGCCGAUAUUGCAAUCGACUCAGGGUUUUUAUGAGCAAUAAAUAAGAUGGAAACUAUAAAGAUAAUAAAAAAAAUACACACACAUCCCACACACAUGUAUCUUGUCCAUCAUAAAACAUGGUGCAGAGAAUUAAACCUAGAAGGGUGAUUGGGGACUUACUUGAUGGUACUUCCUAUUUUACAGGUGAGAAAAUAGAGGCCAAAGGUACAACUUUCCCAAUAGAAUGAGGGGAUAUUUGUGUAGAUUUAUUAUUUCAUCAUAUGCCCUUUCUCUGACCUAGACCAGAAAGAAAUUUACAAAAGCAACUCAUCGCCAGUGUUCACACCACAAA